ensembl:lncRNA
CACACCACGAACUCCACUUCCCAGCCUGCACCGCGGCCUACAAACAUGGCCGCCACGGACUGCGAUUCCCCGACCACUCACACACUGGUACGUUCAUUCUCACCUUCAUUUUAAUCACCUACAUCCAAUUCACUGAACGAUCACAGCCACGGUAUAAAAGGACGUUCCUUUCACUCGCUCUUUUGUGCUCUGGGUGAUGGUUUUCAGAAGCAGGAUUCAAGAAUGACAGAAAGAUGGAGGAAGCAAAGUACAGAGCUGGAAUUUCCUCAGGGAUAUUAUGGAACAGAUUUUGUGGAUUGAGAAGGGAAACAUGAGUUUAAUCCGUUUUAAAGAAACAUUUUCUAUCAUAAAUUGUAGCAAAAUAUUUUUUUAAGUGAAUGGGCCCGUGACCCUGAAAAGGAGUAAGCGGUAGAAGACGGAUGGAUGGCUGGAUGGUCUGAAUGCUUUUUUCUACAGUCUGUCAUUUUGAAUCAGCAGGGAAUGGAAGGAAUGAACCUGAGAACAACUUGCAUCUCUGCCCCGCCCUGCUCAUGAAUGUGUGAAGGACUGGUCAUGUGUUUUUAGAUGAGUCCAGCUGAGCAGGUUCUUCUGGGUGAUCUGGGUGUGGCUGUCAUCACCUACACUCUCGCGUGCACACACACAGCCUAAUGAUGACCUCCUUCGCUUGCAUCGUCACCUCUUUGGACCGCACAUUGAGAGUUCCCAAGAACGGCUAACAAAUGCAAAUUCAACGGUUGGGAUCAACCCCGGACCUUUUAUCCCCUCAAUUUGUCAUGAAAUAAGGAGGAAACAGGCCAAACUUGGCCAUGAAACUGCUUAUCAAUCAAGUGUCCGAUUACUUUUGAGCUUGUGAAAAUCGCUGUAAAUAUGGCUGUAAUUCCUAAACAGUUAAUGCAAUAUUUUUGUUAAACCCCUUGAAUUAAAG